CCUAGUGGCGGACGGGUGAGUAACGCGUGAGUAACCUGCCUUUAACAGGGGGAUAACACUGAGAAAUUGGUACUAAUACCCCAUAAUAUCAUAGAAGGCAUCUUUUAUGGUUGAAAAUUCCGAUGGUUAGAGAUGGGCAUGCGUUGUAUUAGCUAGUUGGUGGGGUAACGGCUCACCAAGGCGACGAUACAUAGGGGGACUGAGAGGUUAACCCCCCACACUGGUACUGAGACACGGACCAG
rnacentral:rRNA from 1 species